AGGGCUGAAUCUAAAGGAAAAACUGACCUUAUCUAGCAGGUCUUGAAAACCGGCGAAGGUGCGAGCCUUCCCAGGGUUCGAAUCCCUGUCCCUCCGCCA
rnacentral:tRNA from 1 species